GACGAACGCUGGCGGCGUGCUUAACACAUGCAAGUCGAACGGAAAGGCCCUGCUUUUGUGGGGUGCUCGAGUGGCGAACGGGUGAGUAACACGUGAGUAACCUGCCCUUGACUUUGGGAUAACUUCAGGAAACUGGGGCUAAUACCGGAUAGGAGCUCCUGCUGCAUGGUGGGGGUUGGAAAGUUUCGGCGGUUGGGGAUGGACUCGCGGCUUAUCAGCUUGUUGGUGGGGUAGUGGCUUACCAAGGCUUUGACGGGUAGCCGGCCUGAGAGGGUGACCGGCCACAUUGGGACUGAGAUACGGCCCAGACUCCUACGGGAGGCAGCAGUGGGGAAUAUUGCACAAUGGGCGGAAGCCUGAUGCAGCAACGCCGCGUGCGGGAUGACGGCCUUCGGGUUGUAAACCGCUUUCGCCUGUGACGAAGCGUGAGUGACGGUAAUGGGUAAAGAAGCACCGGCUAACUACGUGCCAGCAGCCGCGGUGAUACGUAGGGUGCGAGCGUUGUCCGGAUUUAUUGGGCGUAAAGGGCUCGUAGGUGGUUGAUCGCGUCGGAAGUGUAAUCUUGGGGCUUAACCCUGAGCGUGCUUUCGAUACGGGUUGACUUGAGGAAGGUAGGGGAGAAUGGAAUUCCUGGUGGAGCGGUGGAAUGCGCAGAUAUCAGGAGGAACACCAGUGGCGAAGGCGGUUCUCUGGGCCUUUCCUGACGCUGAGGAGCGAAAGCGUGGGGAGCGAACAGGCUUAGAUACCCUGGUAGUCCACGCUGUAAACGGUGGGUACUAGGUGUGGGGUCCAUUCCACGGGUUCCGUGCCGUAGCUAACGCUUUAAGUACCCCGCCUGGGGAGUACGGCCGCAAGGCUAAAACUCAAAGGAAUUGACGGGGCCCCGCACAAGCGGCGGAGCAUGCGGAUUAAUUCGAUGCAACGCGUAGAACCUUACCUGGGUUUGACAUGGAUCGGGAGUGCUCAGAGAUGGGUGUGCCUCUUUUGGGGUCGGUUCACAGGUGGUGCAUGCCUGUCGUCAGCUCGUGUCGUGAGAUGUUGGGUUAAGUCCCGCAACGAGCGCAACCCUUGUUCACUGUUGCCAGCACGUUAUGGUGGGGACUCAGUGGGGACCGCCGGGGCCAACUCGGAGGAAGGUGGGGAUGACGUCAAGUCAUCAUGCCCCUUAUGUCCAGGGCUUCACGCAUGCUACAAUGGCUGGUACAGAGAGUGGCGAGCCUGUGAGGGUGAGCGAAUCUCGGAAAGCCGGUCUCAGUUCGGAUUGGGGUCUGCAACUCGACCUCAUGAAGUCGGAGUCGCUAGUAAUCGCAGAUCAGCAACGCUGCGGUGAAUACGUUCCCGGG
rnacentral:rRNA from 1 species